rnacentral:lncRNA from 1 species
CCUGAUUUACCAACAUAACCUGUUUCUGGCCAUGCUGUGAAUCUGCAUUCUUUACUGUGUCCUUGGGAUACUAGGAGGAACCAGAGGAGCAGAUCCUGCUAGGAGGCUAAGCAUGAAGAAGGAAUUCAAAGAAACCUUGUGGAGAACGAAGACACAGCAGGGAGUCUCUGAUCAAGUGCCACAUCUUUAGAGAAGCUUUUCCAAACAACCGGUUAUGAAGUACACAUUAACAAUGAAGCCUCUUUUCAAGUAAAGAAGUUUUAUUUGAUAUGAUUAAAAUAACUAUAACAUAUAUGCGAAAUAUGAAGCCAAAUAAUAAAACUAAGAAGCAUGAAUCCAUCAUUCUACUCAAAAAGCCUUCAAGCUCCAGAUAAUCCUCAGUGAGGUAUACUGUCCGCUCAAUAUCCAAGAGUCACCCUUCUACAAGGGACCUCUAGACUGCCCAUAAGUGAGACAUGACAGAGGUAAAGUAAUGCUCCUGUCUCCCUUGGACCUCGCUGGAAACUGCAUUCAUCAACCCAUGGAACCACCCCCCUGCCAUGAAAGCUAGCAAGAGGCCAAGACCCACAGAACAACCACCAUCACUCCUCUGUCAGCAGGAAGCGGUUACAAAAGACUAACCUUUGCCCAUUUUCCCCAAAGAAUUGGGGUCUUGGAAUCUUGAGGGAGGAAAUGUUACAGUAGGUAGCUAGUCAGACAUGAGCAGAGCAGAAGAGGGCUUACACACAC